rnacentral:misc_RNA from 1 species
GAUGAAGAACGCAGCGAAAUGCGAUACUUGGUGUGAAUUGCAGAAUCCCGUGAACCAUCGAGUCUUUGAACGCAAGUUGCGCCUCAAGCCAUUAGGUUGAGGGCACGUCUGCCUGGGCGUCACAUAUCGUUGCCUGAUGCCAGUUUCCUCGUGAUGGGUGACUGUGCAGGGCGAAUGAUGGCUUCCCGUGAGCAUUGUUGCCUCAUGGUUGGUUGAAAAUUGAGUCCUUGGUAGGGAGCGCCGUGAUAGAUGGUGGUUGAGUGACGAACGAGACCCAAUCAUGUGAGACCCCUACCGAAUUUGGCCUUCAUGACCCACAUGCGUCUUUGGAACGCUCAUGACGAGACCUCAGGUCAGGCGGGGCUACCCGCUGAGUUUAAGCAUAUAAUAAGCGGAGGA